rnacentral:rRNA from 1 species
AGAGUUUGAUCCUGGCUCAGAGCGAACGCUGGCGGCAGGCUUAACACAUGCAAGUCGAGCGGGCGUAGCAAUACGUCAGCGGCAGACGGGUGAGUAACGCGUGGGAACAUACCUUUUGGUUCGGAACAACACAGGGAAACUUGUGCUAAUACCGGAUAAGCCCUUACGGGGAAAGAUUUAUCGCCGAAAGAUUGGCCCGCGUCUGAUUAGCUAGUUGGUGAGGUAACGGCUCACCAAGGCGACGAUCAGUAGCUGGUCUGAGAGGAUGAUCAGCCACAUUGGGACUGAGACACGGCCCAAACUCCUACGGGAGGCAGCAGUGGGGAAUAUUGGACAAUGGGCGCAAGCCUGAUCCAGCCAUGCCGCGUGAGUGAUGAAGGCCCUAGGGUUGUAAAGCUCUUUUGUGCGGGAAGAUAAUGACGGUACCGCAAGAAUAAGCCCCGGCUAACUUCGUGCCAGCAGCCGCGGUAAUACGAAGGGGGCUAGCGUUGCUCGGAAUCACUGGGCGUAAAGGGUGCGUAGGCGGGUCUUUAAGUCAGGGGUGAAAUCCUGGAGCUCAACUCCAGAACUGCCUUUGAUACUGAAGAUCUUGAGUUCGGGAGAGGUGAGUGGAACUGCGAGUGUAGAGGUGAAAUUCGUAGAUAUUCGCAAGAACACCAGUGGCGAAGGCGGCUCACUGGCCCGAUACUGACGCUGAGGCACGAAAGCGUGGGGAGCAAACAGGAUUAGAUACCCUAGUAGUCC